ACUNCGAUUGCGAAGGCAGCUUGCUGGACUGUAACUGACGCUGAGGCACGAAAGCGUGGGGAUCAAACAGGAUUAGAUACCCUGGUAGUNCACGCCGUAAACGAUGAAUGCUAGCUGUUAGCGAUAUACUGUUAGCGGCACAGAGAAAUCGUUAAGCAUUCCACCUGGGGAGUACGCCGGCAACGGUGAAACUCAAAGGAAUUGACGGGGGCCCGCACAAGCGGAGGAACAUGUGGUUUAAUUCGAUGAUACGCGAGGAACCUUACCUGGGCUUAAAUUGCAGUGGAAUAACGUGGAAACAUGUUAGCCUUCGGGCCGCUGUGAAGGUGCUGCAUGGUUGUCGUCAGCUCGUGCCGUGAGGUGUCGGCUUAAGUGCCAUAACGAGCGCAACCCUCAUCGAUAGUUACUAACAGGUUAAGCUGAGGACUCUAUCGAGACUGCCGACGUAAGUCGUGAGGAAGGUGGGGAUGACGUCAAAUCAGCACGGCCCUUACGUCCAGGGCUACACACGUGUUACAAUGGGGGGUACAAAGGGCAGCUACCUGGCGACAGGAUGCUAAUCUCAAAAACCUCUCUCAGUUCGGAUUGGAGUCUGCAACCCGACUCCAUGAAGCUGGAUUCGCUAGUAAUCGCGCAUCAGCCACGGCGCGGUGAAUACGUUCCCGGGCCUUGUACACACCGCCCGUCAAGCCAUGGGAGCCGGGGGGACCUGAAGUAUGCAACCGUAAGGAGCGUCCUAGGGUAAAACUGGUGACUGGGGCU
rnacentral:rRNA from 1 species